AAAUUGAAGAGUUUGAUCAUGGCUCAGAUUGAACGCUGGCGGCAGGCCUAACACAUGCAAGUCGAACGGUAACAGGAAGCAGCUUGCUGCUUUGCUGACGAGUGGCGGACGGGUGAGUAAUGUCUGGGAAACUGCCUGAUGGAGGGGGAUAACUACUGGAAACGGUAGCUAAUACCGCAUAACGUCGCAAGACCAAAGAGGGGGACCUUCGGGCCUCUUGCCAUCGGAUGUGCCCAGAUGGGAUUAGCUUGUUGGUGGGGUAACGGCUCACCAAGGCGACGAUCCCUAGCUGGUCUGAGAGGAUGACCAGCCACACUGGAACUGAGACACGGUCCAGACUCCUACGGGAGGCAGCAGUGGGGAAUAUUGCACAAUGGGCGCAAGCCUGAUGCAGCCAUGCCGCGUGUAUGAAGAAGGCCUUUGGGUUGUAAAGUACUUUCAGCGGGGAGGAAGGGAGUAAAGU
rnacentral:rRNA from 1 species